rnacentral:misc_RNA from 1 species
GAUAGUGUGAAAUCUACAAUCAGAAAGCUGCUGAUGAAAAACAUCUACAUUCCAACCUUCACCUCUCCAAUGAUCGAUCCAGUCGACCUGCUUGAAGCAAUGAUUCCUAGGUCAUCUCCGAUUUGAUCAAACUCCUUCAAUGCAGCUUCCAUUUCUGCCUCAAUAGCUGCAUCAUCCGGAUUCAGCAGGCCUAAGCGUAAGGAGUCCUGGUAGUGUUGUUCGUACUGCUUCUCCUUCUCGGGGUCGCUCUCGAAGGGAUCCAUAACGGCCCCCUGACACAGUUCCGCAAAAUGCUUGUAAACCUCACUGUUUUGGUCUUGAUCGUAUAUUAAUGUUCCACCA